CGUUAGCGGCGGACGGGUGAGUAACACGUGGGUAACCUACCUAUAAGACUGGGAUAACUUCGGGAAACCGGAGCUAAUACAGGAUAAUAUUUCGAACCGCAUGGUUCGAUAGUGAAAGAUGGUUUUGCUAUCACUUAUAGAUGGACCCGCGCCGUAUUAGCUAGUUGGUAAGGUAACGGCUUACCAAGGCGACGAUACGUAGCCGACCUGAGAGGGUGAUCGGCCACACUGGAACUGAGACACGGUCCAGACUCCUACGGGAGGCAGCAGGU
rnacentral:rRNA from 1 species